ensembl:lncRNA
ACAGGAAAAGCUCUGGAGCACAUCCUCCAUAACCAGUUUAAACCCAGUGUGGGAAUGCGUCCAGACUCCAGAAGGAUUGCCGUUCUGAUCACAGACGGGGAAUCACAGGAUAAAGUACUCCUGCCUUCAAAGAACCUGAAACACAAUGACAUCGAGGUCUAUGCUAUUGGGUGCCAGAGAGAGUGAGCUAAAGGUCAUCGCCUCUGAUAAUGACCACGUGUACUUUAUCAAGGAUUUCAAGUCCCUUAAUGGUAUCAUCAGAAAUAUCACCAUCGACCUCUCAAAAGGUUCAAAUAACUUAGCACAUGUAGAAAGGUUGGGCAAAGUUCCAUGCAGCCUUGAAGAUCACUGAGAAGAUGAGG